rnacentral:rRNA from 1 species
GAGUUUGAUCAUGGCUCAGGAUGAACGCUGGCGGCGUGCCUAACACAUGCAAGUCGAGCGCGGUUGUGCUUAGUAUUGAGUGUUUUAUUGAUAUAAAACAUUGAAUUCUAUGCACAACUGAGCGGCGGACGGGUGAGUAACGCGUGGGUAACCUGCCCUAUACACAUGGAUAACAUACUGAAAAGUUUACUAAUACAUGAUAAAAUAGUUUUUCGGCAUCGAAGAAUUAUCAAAGUGUUAGCGGUAUAGGAUGGACCCGCGUCUGAUUAGCUAGUUGGUGAGAUAACUGCCCACCAAGGCAACGAUCAGUAGCCGACCUGAGAGGGUGAUCGGCCACAUUGGAACUGAGACACGGUCCAAACUCCUACGGGAGGCAGCAGUGGGGAAUAUUGCACAAUGGGCGCAAGCCUGAUGCAGCAACGCCGCGUGAACGAUGAAGGUCUUCGGAUCGUAAAGUUCUGUUGCAGGGGAAGAU